rnacentral:lncRNA from 1 species
ACUUUGCUUAAGUUGGACAAGCAAGUAUAGUACCUUUCUUUCUUAAACUCAUUUACAACCCAACCCGUAGAAAAAAUGUCGACAGAAGAGUUUAUGAGUUUUCUCAAAUACAUAUGUUUAUUUCUUCUCUUUUUGUAUUCCCUCAAGAUAUUCUACUUCAAAAAAGUCUAUGUUUACCGAGUUGGAAUUGAUACUUCUUCGACAGCAAAUGAUUUCAACAAAGUGAAAACAUUUGAACUGCGAGAAGUGACAGAUCAGACCAAGUCUACGGGAAAAGGAGGGAGCAGCAAAUGAUCUUCAGAAUCUCUAAAUUUCUUUCUUGCUAAAUUUGUGCAAAAGAUAACCAAGGGAGGCUAGCUAGCUGGACACAGUUACUGGAUAAAUAAUAAACUGUACUGUUUGUCUUUCUUUUUUUCUUUUUUUUAAAUAAUGUAAAAUUAUAUUCAAGAAAACAAUCGUUUUUACAACUCGUGCAACAGGGAGAUUAAAACCAUUGAGUUAUGAAAGAAGAGUAAUAUUUGAAAGCUAGUAUUGAGAGAAGAACCAAAGUUGCAACCCUUUGUCGUACCGCCUAUCACCCAUAAGCUUUAUACACCCAAAGUUGCAACCCUUUGUCGUACUGUUUGUCUUUCAAAUAUGCUUUCAGUUCCUUUUAAUAUUUUUGUUUGCGUUUGUAAUUUAUGUGUAUAAACAUAUGUUUGCUCUGAGUCCAUAAAUUUGCUUGUAAUAAUUUUAAUAAUUAUGUUUGCAUCACAUAUAAACAUAUGGAGAAUAUCUUGCUGUGACAUUUAAAAAAGAUACAUUCCAAGCAAUCGAAACCAUAAAUUUGCUGUGAUGUAUUCUUCUGUACAUCGAAAACCCUUUUGCAAUACAAUGUGAUUUUCAGUUUUUUUUUU